rnacentral:rRNA from 1 species
GAUGAACGCUGGCGGCGUGCCUAAUACAUGCAAGUCGAGCGAACGGACGAGAAGCUUGCUUCUCUGAUGUUAGCGGCGGACGGGUGAGUAACACGUGGAUAACCUACCUAUAAGACUGGGAUAACUUCGGGAAACCGUAGCUAAUACCGGAUAAUAUUUUGAACCGCAUGGUUCAAAAGUGAAAGACGGUCUUGCUGUCACUUAUAGAUGGAUCCGCGCUGCAUUAGCUAGUUGGUAAGGUAACGGCUUACCAAGGCAACGAUGCAUAGCCGACCUGAGAGGGUGAUCGGCCACACUGGAACUGAGACACGGUCCAGACUCCUACGGGAGGCAGCAGUAGGGAAUCUUCCGCAAUGGGCGAAAGCCUGACGGAGCAACGCCGCGUGAGUGAUGAAGGUCUUCGGAUCGUAAAACUCUGUUAUUAGGGAAGAACAUAUGUGUAAGUAACUGUGCACAUCUUGACGGUACCUAAUCAGAAAGCCACGGCUAACUACGUG